rnacentral:rRNA from 1 species
GCUUGUCUCAAAGAUUAAGCCAUGCAUGUCUUAGUGUAAAUAACUCUUAUGAAACUGCGAAUGGCUCAUUAAAUCAGUUAUCAAAUACGUGAUGGUCGCCUACUACAUGGAUAACCGUAGUAAUUCUAGAGCUAAUACAUGCACAAAGGCCCACUCACGUGGGUUGUGAUUAUUAGAUACAAAACCAAUGCGGGUUCUGCUCGCCAUUGUGUUGAAUCAUAGUAACUUAUCGAACGCCAUAGCCUUGUGCUGGGCGUAGAUCAUUCAAAUUUCUGCCCUAUCAGCUUUCGACGGUAGUGUAGUGGACUACCGUGGCGUUAACGGGUAACGGGGAAUUAGGGUUCGAUUCCGGAGAGGGAGCCUGAGAAACGGCUACCACAUCCAAGGAAGGCAGCAGG